rnacentral:rRNA from 1 species
CCUACGGGCGGCAGCAGUGAGGAAUAUUGGUCAAUGGGAGAGAUCCUGAACCAGCCAAGCCGCGUGAGGGAAGACGGCCCUAUGGGUUGUAAACCUCUUUUGUCUGGGAAUAAAAUCCGGGACGUGUCCCGUACUGUGUGUAUCCUAUGAAUAAGCAUCGGCUAACUCCGUGCCAGCAGCCGCGGUAAUACGGAGGAUGCGAGCGUUAUCCGGAUUUCUUGGGUUUAAAGGGUGCGUAGGCGGUCCGUUAAGUCAGCGGUAAAAUUUUGGGGCUCAACCCCGACGAGCCGUUGAUACUGGCAGACUUGAGUUGGCGAGAGGUAGACGGAAUGCGCGGUGUAGCGGUGAAAUGCAUAGAUAUCGCGCAGAACUCCGAUUGCGAAGGCAGCGUACCGGAGCCAAACUGACGCUGAGGCACGAAAGCGUGGGGAUCAAACAGGAUUAGAUACCCUAGUAGUC